GAGGGUAGAGCUCAGUGGUAGAGCAUGUGCUUAGCAUGCAGGAGGUCCUGGGUUCAAUCCCCAGAACUUCCA
rnacentral:tRNA from 1 species